CUGGAGAGCAGACACUUGAAAGGCAGCCGCAAUGGCUCUGCUGUACGGUAAUUUAACCCAGAGGUAAAGGACGGCCAAGACAGACCGCGCCGGAAGAGGAAAUCAAGAUCCCUGGGUUUCUCAGCUGCGGGAGAAACUCUGAGACGCACAGUCACUGAGCAAGGACAGCUGAAAAAGCGCGUGAGGAAAGCAGCUGAGACAGCGGUGGGAAAGCCCGCGGACUGGCCGGUCAGAAGGGCAAGCCAAGGGCAACAAGGAAACAGCAACAAAUGGUGCCCACAGCUUCCGAAUCUUCCAGAUGAAGGGCAUACAAGUCCCUUGGGAAUUAACAACACAAAGGUCACUGUUGACAUGAGCCACCAGGUAGGGCUGUAUGUAUGGUGGGGAGAAAGGCACGGAGAUUAGAACCGCUAAAGUGGAGAAAAUGCAUUACAUAUGCCGAUGGGGAAUUCAUUCAAGAAGACUAUAUCCUGAAGUACAGAGUGAAGGACCCUGUCAUAAGGGAGUGGCCCCCUGCGUCCUCCUCCACUGCGAGCCCACAGAAGCUAAGACCACAGGCGGCUGCUCAAAGUAUGCUCUGAACAGCUCUCCUUCUUGUCCCCACCCUUUGAAAACGAGAAGAAGAAUUAUGACUGCCAGAAUGUCUGCCCAUUGUGCGAUCACUGAUGUUUUGCUCAUUAUUUUAAAAAAACCUCUCCUUUGUGAUGUCAUAAAACACACGUGUGGUACAGAAUCGCCAAGCACAAAGGGAGAUGCACAAUGCUAG
rnacentral:lncRNA from 1 species